GUUAAUGUAGCAAAGUUCGGUUUCGCAAAAGAUCUAAACCCUUUUUACAGAGGUUCAAAUCCUCUCAUUAACU
rnacentral:tRNA from 1 species